ACUGCGAGUGAAGCGGGAAGAGCUCAAAUUUAAAAUCUGGCGGUCUUCUGGCCGUCCGAGUUGUAGUCUGGAGAAGUGUUUUCCGCGUCGGACCGUGUACAAGUCUCCUGGAACGGAGCGUCAUAGAGGGUGAGAAUCCCGUCCAUGACACGGACUCCCGAUGCUAUGUGAUACGCUUUCAAAGAGUCGAGUUGUUUGGGAAUGCAGCUCAAAACGGGUGGUAAAUUCCAUCUAAAGCUAAAUAUUGGCGAGAGACCGAUAGCGAACAAGUACCGUGAGGGAAAGAUGAAAAGCACUUUGGAAAGAGAGUUAAACAGUACGUGAAAUUGUUGAAAGGGAAACGCUUGAAGUCAGUCGUGUCUCUCGGAACUCAGCCUUGCUUCGGCUUGGUGUACUUUCCGAGUGGAUGGGUCAACGUCAGUUUCUUCCGACAGAGAAAGGGAGAGGGAAUGUGGCGCUGCUUCGGUGGCGUGUUAUAGCCCCCUUCCUGAUGUGUUGGUAGGGACUGAGGACCGCAGCGCGCCUUCUUGGCCGGGGGUUCGCCCUACGUAUCGCGCUUAGGAUGUUGGCAUAAUGGCUUUAAGCGACCCGUCUUGAAACACGGACCAAGGAGUCUAACAUGCUUGCGAGUGUUCGGGUGGAAAACCCUUGCGCGUAAUGAAAGUGAAAGUUGGGAACCUCCGCGAGGGGGUGCACCGACGCCCGGCCCUGACGUUCUCUGACGGUGCUGCGGUAGAGCAAGUAUGCUGGGACCCGAAAGAUGGUGAACUAUGCCUGAAUAGGGCGAAGCCAGAGGAAACUCUGGUGGAGGCUCGUAGCGAUUCUGACGUGCAAAUCGAUCGUCAAAUUUGGG
rnacentral:rRNA from 1 species